rnacentral:rRNA from 1 species
GAUGAACGCUGGCGGCGUGCCUAAUACAUGCAAGUCGAGCGGCAGCACGGUCUUCGGACUGGUGGCGAGCGGCGGACGGCUGAGUAACGCGUAGGAAUAUACCCCAAAGUGAGGGAUAACUGCCCGAAAGGGUGGCUAAUACCGCAUGUGGUCUUCGGACUAAAGCCUUCGGGCGCUUUGGGAAUAGCCUGCGUAAGAUUAGCUAGUUGGUGAGGUAAUGGCUCACCAAGGCGACGAUCUUUAGCUGGUCUGAGAGGAUGACCAGCCAGACUGGAACUGAGACACGGUCCAGACUCCUACGGGAGGCAGCAGUAGGGAAUUUUCCACAAUGGGCGAAAGCCUGAUGGAGCAACGCCGCGUGCAGGAUGAAGGCCCUCGGGUCGUAAACUGCUUUAUGUGCGAAGAAUAUGACGGUAACACAUGAAUAAGGGUCGGCUAACUACGUGCCAGCAGCCGCG